rnacentral:rRNA from 1 species
GAUGAACGCUGGCGGCGUGCUUAACACAUGCAAGUCGAACGGAAAGGCUCCUGCCUGCAGGGGUACUCGAGUGGCGAACGGGUGAGUAACACGUGGGGGAUAUGCCCUGUACUUCGGGAGAAGCCUGGGGAACUGGGGCUAAUACAGGGGAUGACAUUCUCUUGGGUGGGGUUGUGGAAAGCUUGUGCGGUAUGGGAUGAGUUCGCGGCCUAUCAGCUUGUUGGUGGGGUAAUGGCCUACCAAGGCGUUGACGGGUAGCCGGCCUGAGAGGGUGUACGGCCACAUUGGGCCUGAGGUACGGCCCAGACUCCUACGGGAGGCAGCAGUGAGGAAUCUUGCACAAUGGGGGCGAGUCUGAUGCAGCGAUGUUGCGUGGGUAAUGACGGCUUUCGGGUUGUAAACUACUUUCGAAAUAGACGAACAUUUUUUGACGGUAGCUUGAGAAAAAGCCCCGGCUAACUACGUG